rnacentral:rRNA from 1 species
CCUACGGGCGGCAGCAGUGAGGAAUAUUGGUCAAUGGACGAGAGUCUGAACCAGCCAAGUAGCGUGAAGGAUGACUGCCCUAUGGGUUGUAAACCUCUUUUAUAUGGGAAUAAAAUGUUCCACGUGUGGGAUUUUGUAUGUACCAUAUGAAUAAGGAUCGGCUAACUCCGUGCCAGCAGCCGCGGUAAUACGGAGGAUCCGAGCGUUAUCCGGAUUUAUUGGGUUUAAAGGGAGCGUAGGUGGAUUGUUAAGUCAGUUGUGAAAGUUUGCGGCUCAACCGUGAAAUUGCAGUUGAUACUGGCAGUCUAGAGUACAGUAGAGGUGGGCGGAAUGCGUGGUGUAGCGGUGAAAUGCUUAGAUAUCACGAAGAACUCCGAUUGCGAAGGCAGCUCACUAGACUGCAACUGACACUGAGGCUCGAAAGUGUGGGUAUCAAACAGGAUUAGAUACCCUGGUAGUC